CUGUACCCACGGCAUAUGGAUGUUCCCUGGCCAGGGACUGAACCUGAGCCACAGCUGCGGCAAUGCCAGAUCCUUACCCCACUGAGCCAGGCCAGGGAUCGAACCGGCACCUCCAGAGACAAGCUGGAACAUUAACCCAUGACGCCACAGCGGGAACGCCCACAUAUUUCAAUGCUCCAAGUGCCAAACACAAGCCUACCUGCGGAGACAAUGUGAGUGACGACUCCUGCGAAUCGGGUCUACAGGUUAUCCCGUCACACUCAGUCUCACUGGCACGACCCAAAGACGUUAAGGUAAUGAUUUCUAUGAAUACAGAUGCUCAAACAUCUUACAAGUGUUUUGUCUCUCUUCAUAACAAAUCAACAAGGCAAAAAAAGGUAUCCCCACUACAAAAAAAAAAAAAAAUCAGUGGAAAAAGUGACAUGCCCAGAGAUGAUCAAAUUUAACUAAGAGCCAGAUAUAGGGCGUUACUUACUUAUUAAUCCAUAACAGUCCAACCCAAACGCCAAAUGCGCCUUGUAUCUCUAACUGCAUCUUUGAUAGGGUUUUUGACUCCCUAAGACUUGAGAAGAUUAAACCCCUACCCAAAACUCACCAGGAAUCCUGCCUCUCUCCGGAUUACAACCUGGACCGAGAAGCGAGCAACAUGUUUCUUUCUUGCCCCUGGGACACCCCAGCCACGAAGCUCAGGCUCUCAGAUGAACGGCCCGUUACUCUUAGCCUCACGUGCAGAGCCCGCUCCUUCUUAACACGCUUGACGAUCUGGUUCUGCCGCUCAUGGUGUAUGAGAAGCAACGAAGCACAAAGAAAGCACGUCGGUAGCGACAGGGAGAAAGAGAAGCAAAAACAAAACCAGAAGAGCAAACACGGGGGUUGGGAAAGAGCUAAACGUGGCCCGUGUACUGGUGCCGCACACGUCCCAGCGGACACGCUUCACGCCAAGCCCGGCGUUCGCCCUGAGGAUCCAGCCCGACUCGGUUCGCGUUUCACGUGUUCUCAAGGAAGAACCAGAAACAGGUACAUGCCUUUGUGGAUUUCCACCCAAAAUGGGGAAGCAAAGCCUUGGUGCUCAUUAAGGGAGAAAAUGAACAUGUGUACAAAGACCCAAGUGUUUCACAACAAGCCUUAAAUGUAUCAUCAGGUUUCUCCUGCCAAAGCAGAACGUGGGUUUUCUACAGUCCGAGACGUACAAUGGAAAACUUAAGGAAGAGAGAGAGAAAGAUCAACUCCACUUAAUUCCUCAUUUUCCUGGGAGUCGUUCAGCCUUACGGGUGAUGAAUGGCUCGCUGUAAACCGGUUUAGUUGCUCUCCUGGCUGCCAAAGCACAGCUAAGAAGCCAGCAGGUACAACAGGGAAGCUGUCAAGUCAAGCUGGCUCAAAACAAAGUUGUGGUUUGCAGGCGGGGCCUGAACCAUCUCUUCCGUUCAUAUAAGCUGGCAGGAUGUAGAAACAGGAUCCCGACCUAGCCACCGCUUCAGAGAACCAAAAUAUUUUGCUUUGACUUUCUAGCCUAUUAAGCUUGGGGUUUGGCAGGAUCUGUGUCCACAGUGAACGCAAGACCUUGUAAUGGUCCUCUUGAGGAAAUGAGAACACAAACAAAGCUGCCCUGAGUCUGGAAAGAAAGCAGUGUCUGGAGGGGUGUGAGGGACAGGCAGAGACGUGGGGCUGGCAAUCAGGACAGCCAGAGAGAUGGGGACAGCUAAUAUUUCUAAGUGUUUUCCACAUGCCACAUGAGCGCGUACGUAAUCUGCAGUAAUCUUGCUUAAUCCU
rnacentral:lncRNA from 1 species